CCUACGGGGGGCAGCAGUGGGGAAUAUUGGACAAUGGGGGCAACCCUGAUCCAGCCAUGCCGCGUGUGUGAAGAAGGCCCUCGGGUUGUAAAGCACUUUCAGUGAGGAAGAACGCCUGGUGGUUAAUACCCAUCAGGAAAGACAUCACUCACAGAAGAAGCACCGGCUAACUCCGUGCCAGCAGCCGCGGUAAUACGGAGGGUGCGAGCGUUAAUCGGAAUUACUGGGCGUAAAGCGCGCGUAGGUGGCUUGAUAAGCCGGUUGUGAAAGCCCCGGGCUCAACCUGGGAACGGCAUCCGGAACUGUCAAGCUAGAGCGCAGGAGAGGAAGGUAGAAUUCCCGGUGUAGCGGUGAAAUGCGUAGAGAUCGGGAGGAAUACCAGUGGCGAAGGCGGCCUUCUGGACUGACACUGACACUGAGGUGCGAAAGCGUGGGUAGCAAACAGGAUUAGAUACCCGAGUAGUC
rnacentral:rRNA from 1 species